CGUCCUGUUUCAUUGUGCCCUUCAGUCUCACUCAGAGCCACGACUGUAAUUGAGUAAAUGAUUUGAUGUGCAUCAUCCAGCGUCCCUGCUUGUAAAAGCUUGGCCAUGCAUCGGAGGUAAAAUUCUCUUACUCUGCAGGGUUUUUUCCUCAGGCAUUCCCAUCGACUGAUGAGCUUUAUGCAGUGAGCAACAUCUACUCUAAUAAAGCAAGCUGGUAACUUUGAAGUUUGGUUUCUAAUUAGCACUCCAAAACUUUCAUCAAUGUAUGCCCUGAGGUCUGGACAGUGAGUGAAGGCUUUCACCAUGCCACCAAGAAGAGCAAGGGAGAAAUCACUCACAGCCUCUCUGGGUAUUGGAGCCCCUGCAUGAUGCCACUCGGAAAGCCAAGAUGCUAUUGCAUUGGCAUCGUGUUUUUCGGAUAGCAUCUGUACCACUGUUUUUUCACAAUAGAUCCCGUGGCAUCGAAGCAAACACAGUGCUGCUGCUUUGACUGGGAUUUAUACAGCUGCAUCUGAGAUGGACUCCAAUAAUGGCAAUAAAAUUUAUCUAUGCCAAUGUCAUGAAUACUGCCGCUGUGAGGUACAGAGUGUUUUAAAAGCUGAAGUGAUAGCACAGGAUCUUUGUGUUGAAGCUCUUCAUCUUUUCUUUCCUGCUUGGCUUUCCGGAGUGUAGUCAGAUUGUACAAAUGACUGGGCUCAGGGUCACCAAAUCUCAUCAAUUUGUUGGCUUCAGUUUCACGCCAGAAUGCAGUGAAGGAGAGCACAUUCAUUUGAUUUGGGUUCUUUGACACAGUGAAUGAGAAGUCUGCCUUUGCACUCUUUGCAGUGUGCU